UAUGGAUAAUGUGUGUUAGAUACCCACGUAGGUGGGUUUAUGUAAAAAUAUAUGUAUUUCUAAAUAUAUGUAUAUAUAUGUAGUAACUAUUGCAGAAGAACUCGUUUUUUAAUUAAUCAUGUACUCUGCUGUUACUGCAAUUAAUUUGUUUUACAUAAGAAAUGUAUGGCAAACAGGCAGGAUUACAGGAAGCUGUUGAUCUGCGCCAUGGACAGUCUGUUGCAAAAGAACACAGUUUUUCAUUAGCCUAAAAUAGAAGCAAUCCAUGAUCCAUUUAACAAUAAAAUUAGAACACACACAAUGAAGAUGCUUAUUUCUCUAGUGGGUGCACAGUUUUCUGAACAUAAAACAGGAAUAACUUGUUCUGAACACUCAUUCUGAAAACUCUAACUGCAAUCUGUUCCUCUCUAUAGAUCAAGGAAUAUGAACAAUCCAGGACAUUUGUUGUUGUGAAUUCAGUUAAUAUGUAGUGGUGAGCUAAUAUUUAGUGGUGGAAGUUUUGAUUGAUGUCUACAGUCAAUGUUAUUAAUUAAAUUUAUAUAGUAAAUGUCGAUUGAUUAUUGCAGUUAAUAUUUAUUGAUUUAAUACAUUUCAUAUUUUCUUUGAUUAAUUAACACAGUCAAUAUUGUAAAUAGAGUCAACGUAACUUCUUUAUUCUGGUUGUUGCAGAUUCUAGAUGAGUAACCUGGAUAACUUCCAUUAUUGCACCUGCCAGAAGACGAAUUACAUGUGUGGUUUAGGCAUAAGUCACCUAUGUUUUGAUUAGUUAACAUUUCUGGAUCUCGAUAAGUUCAUCUUUCGAGAUUCUCCAGAGUUACACAGAAAGUGCCUUUUCUUCAGGGAGCUGCCGUGACCAAUUUUCUGAAGAAAUGAGUGCAACUAAAUUAUUUGCAGGAUCUUUUGGGAGACCAGCCAUGCUGAAAGUGAUUUCUGAAUAGAUUUGCAUACAUGAUGAUGGUGGGUGUAUCUAUUUAUAUCUAUAAUGCUCACUUGAGUGA